GUGGCCCUCCAUAUAGACUAGAGCCUGUGUCAGAGGAUGUACGAGCCACUUCAUUGGCAUAAAGUACAUUAAUGCAGCGUUAAGCUGCUGAAGUACGCAGUGCUUGAGAUCUUUUAGGCUAAACGUCUCUCGUUUCAUUUAUAAUGAACGUGGUAACGUUAACGUACGUGUUAUGAAACGCUUUCGCACUGGGUCACUGCAUGCGGAUUUACCGGCGGACAUUGUUGAGGACCAGCUGGCAGCAGAAGGAGACGCACGAGACCGGAAACGUCCUGGAGAACGCAGCAGAGCGUCACACGCGCAACAGCUCCCGCUCCUCCUCCCGCCAACUACAGCACUGAGAAAUGUCACUAUUCAAUGGGGAUGGAAGAUCAUGGCGAAGCUGGGGGCGGUUUGACUGACAUCCGCUGCUGAGGGAUACGGAAAUCUAUCGGUACGGACUGUGCUGGCUCGGGUGGUUGGGGCUGUGCCACUGGGCAGCACGCCUCCCCUUUCGGGCUGG